UACCAGCACCCCGAGUGGUCGGGACGUUUUUAUUGGGCCUAAAGCAUCCGUAGCCGGUUCUACAAGUCUUCCGUUAAGUCCAACUGCUUAACAGGUGGGCUGCGGAAGAUACUAUAGAGCUAGGAGGCGGGAGAGGCAAGCGGUACUCGAUGGGUAGGGGUAAAAUCCGUUGAUCCAUUGAAGACCACCAGUGGCGAAGGCGGCUUGCCAGAACGCGCUCGACGGUGAGGGAUGAAAGCUGGGGGAGCAAACCGGG
rnacentral:rRNA from 1 species